UCCCCACAAUGUCCCCAUGUCCCCAUAAUGUCCCCAUUUCCCAAUGUCCCCCUUUCCCAGUGUCCUCGUGACCCCAUCAUGUCCCCGUGUCCCCAUAACAUCCCCGUGUCCCCAUAAUGUCCCUAUAAUGUCCCCAUAAUGUCCCCAUGUCCCCAUAAUGUCCCCAUUUCCCGGUGUCCCCAUGACCCCAUCACGUCCCCGUGUCCCCAUAACGUCCCUGUAAUGUCCCCGUGUCCCCAUAAUGUCCCCAUUUCCCAAUGUCCCCAUAAAUUCCCCAUGUCCCCAUAAUGUCCCCCUUUCCCAAUGUCCCCGUGACCCCAUCAUGUCCCCAUGUCCCCAUAAAGUCCCCAUAAUGUCCCUGUGUCCCCACAACGUCCCCAAGUCCCCAUAAUGUCCCCAUUUCCCAAUGUCCCCGUGACCCCAUCAUGUCCCCAUAAUGUCCCCAUAAUGUCCCCAUGUCCCCACGACGUCCCCAUUUCCCACCGUCCCCGUGUCCCCAUAACGUCCCUGUGUCCCCACGACGUCCCCGUUUCCCACUGUUCCCGUGUCCCCAUAACGUCCCCAUUUCCCAAUGUCCCCAUAAUGUCCCCAUUUCCCAAUGUCCCCAUGUCCCCAUAACGUCCCCAUUUCCCCAUGUCCCCAUAAUGUCCCCAUUUCCCAGUGUCCCCACAUCGUCCCCAUGUCCCCGUGUCCCCAUAAGGUCCCCCCCGACCCCACAGCUCACGCCAGCAUCUCGGUCAGCAGCCCCACAACCUCCACCCCCACCUCGCGGUCCUCGUCCAGCACCAUGGCCAGCAGGCGCUCCUGCAGCCGGCGACAGCG
rnacentral:lncRNA from 1 species